rnacentral:lncRNA from 1 species
UAUAGAAUUUUUUGAAUAUCAUAUUCACCAUUUGUGGAUCUUGACUCUUGCCUAUCGAGUAAUACAUUAUACUGUAUACUAAUACUGAUUGAAUAAUAACAAACAACCGUGUCUAUAAGAAAAAACAGAGAUAUAAAAAGUAAUGAAAACAAAUUUGUAUGACCUAAAUCUAUGAUCAAAUAGUAACCUAUGUUUCAUGAUACUUCUCGUUGAAAUCUCUCACUUCAAGUUCAACUGCUGUGUCAAAGAAAAAAUUAAUUGAU